GUUAUAUGGUCAAGUGAAGAAGCGCAUACGGUGGAUGCCUUGGCAGUCAGAGGCGAUGAAAGACGUGGUAGCCUGCGAAAAGCUUCGGGGAGUCGGCAAACAGACUUUGAUCCGGAGAUCUCUGAAUGGGGGAACCCACCUAGGAUAACCUAGGUAUCUUGUACUGAAUCCAUAGGUGCAAGAGGCGAACCAGGGGAACUGAAACAUCUAAGUACCCUGAGGAAAAGAAAUCAACCGAGAUUCCCUUAGUAGUGGCGAGCGAACGGGGAUUAGCCCUUAAGCUUCAUUGAUUUUAGCGGAACGCUCUGGAAAGUGCGGCCAUAGUGGGUGAUAGCCCCGUACGCGAAAGGAUCUUUGAAGUGAAAUCGAGUAGGACGGAGCACGAGAAACUUUGUCUGAACAUGGGGGGACCAUCCUCCAAGGCUAAAUACUACUGACUGACCGAUAGUGAACCAGUACCGUGAGGGAAAGGCGAAAAGAACCCCGGAGAGGGGAGUGAAAUAGAACCUGAAACCGUAUGCGUACAAGCAGUGGGAGCCUACUUGUUAGGUGACUGCGUACCUUUUGUAUAAUGGGUCAGCGACUUAUAUUCAGUGGCAAGCUUAACCGUAUAGGGUAGGCGUAGCGAAAGCGAGUCUUAAUAGGGCGUUUAGUCGCUGGGUAUAGACCCGAAACCGGGCGAUCUAUCCAUGAGCAGGUUGAAGGUUAGGUAACACUGACUGGAGGACCGAACCCACUCCCGUUGAAAAGGUAGGGGAUGACUUGUGGAUCGGAGUGAAAGGCUAAUCAAGCUCGGAGAUAGCUGGUUCUCCUCGAAAGCUAUUUAGGUAGCGCCUCAUGUAUCACUCUGGGGGGUAGAGCACUGUUUCGGCUAGGGGGUCAUCCCGACUUACCAAACCGAUGCAAACUCCGAAUACCCAGAAGUGCCGAGCAUGGGAGACACACGGCGGGUGCUAACGUCCGUCGUGAAAAGGGAAACAACCCAGACCGCCAGCUAAGGUCCCAAAGUUGUGGUUAAGUGGUAAACGAUGUGGGAAGGCUUAGACAGCUAGGAGGUUGGCUUAGAAGCAGCCACCCUUUAAAGAAAGCGUAAUAGCUCACUAGUCGAGUCGGCCUGCGCGGAAGAUGUAACGGGGCUCAAACCACACACCGAAGCUGCGGGUGUCACGUAAGUGACGCGGUAGAGGAGCGUUCUGUAAGCCUGUGAAGGUGAGUUGAGAAGCUUGCUGGAGGUAUCAGAAGUGCGAAUGCUGACAUGAGUAACGACAAUGGGUGUGAAAAACACCCACGCCGAAAGACCAAGGGUUCCUGCGCAACGUUAAUCGACGCAGGGUUAGUCGGUUCCUAAGGCGAGGCUGAAAAGCGUAGUCGAUGGGAAACAGGUUAAUAUUCCUGUACUUCUGGUUACUGCGAUGGAGGGACGGAGAAGGCUAGGCCAGCUUGGCGUUGGUUGUCCAAGUUUAAGGUGGUAGGCUGAAAUCUUAGGUAAAUCCGGGGUUUCAAGGCCGAGAGCUGAUGACGAGUCGUCUUUUAGAUGACGAAGUGGUUGAUGCCAUGCUUCCAAGAAAAGCUUCUAAGCUUCAGGUAACCAGGAACCGUACCCCAAACCGACACAGGUGGUCGGGUAGAGAAUACCAAGGCGCUUGAGAGAACUCGGGUGAAGGAACUAGGCAAAAUGGCACCGUAACUUCGGGAGAAGGUGCGCCGGCUAGGGUGAAGGAUUUACUCCGUAAGCUCUGGCUGGUCGAAGAUACCAGGCCGCUGCGACUGUUUAUUAAAAACACAGCACUCUGCAAACACGAAAGUGGACGUAUAGGGUGUGACGCCUGCCCGGUGCCGGAAGGUUAAUUGAUGGGGUUAGCGCAAGCGAAGCUCUUGAUCGAAGCCCCGGUAAACGGCGGCCGUAACUAUAACGGUCCUAAGGUAGCGAAAUUCCUUGUCGGGUAAGUUCCGACCUGCACGAAUGGCGUAACGAUGGCGGCGCUGUCUCCACCCGAGACUCAGUGAAAUUGAAAUCGCUGUGAAGAUGCAGUGUAUCCGCGGCUAGACGGAAAGACCCCGUGAACCUUUACUGUAGCUUUCACUGGACUUUGAGCCUGCUUGUGUAGGAUAGGUGGGAGGCUUUGAAGCGUGGACGCCAGUUCGCGUGGAGCCAUCCUUGAAAUACCACCCUGGCAUGCUUGAGGUUCUAACUCUGGUCCGUAAUCCGGAUCGAGGACAGUGUAUGGUGGGCAGUUUGACUGGGGCGGUCUCCUCCUAAAGAGUAACGGAGGAGUACGAAGGUGCGCUCAGACCGGUCGGAAAUCGGUCGCAGAGUAUAAAGGCAAAAGCGCGCUUGACUGCGAGACAGACACGUCGAGCAGGUACGAAAGUAGGUCUUAGUGAUCCGGUGGUUCUGUAUGGAAGGGCCAUCGCUCAACGGAUAAAAGGUACUCCGGGGAUAACAGGCUGAUACCGCCCAAGAGUUCAUAUCGACGGCGGUGUUUGGCACCUCGAUGUCGGCUCAUCACAUCCUGGGGCUGAAGCCGGUCCCAAGGGUAUGGCUGUUCGCCAUUUAAAGUGGUACGCGAGCUGGGUUUAGAACGUCGUGAGACAGUUCGGUCCCUAUCUGCCGUGGACGUUUGAGAUUUGAGAGGGGCUGCUCCUAGUACGAGAGGACCGGAGUGGACGAACCUCUGGUGUUCCGGUUGUCACGCCAGUGGCAUUGCCGGGUAGCUAUGUUCGGAAAAGAUAACCGCUGAAAGCAUCUAAGCGGGAAACUUGCCUCAAGAUGAGAUCUCACUGGGAACUUGAUUCCCCUGAAGGGCCGUCGAAGACUACGACGUUGAUAGGCUGGGUGUGUAAGCGUUGUGAGGCGUUGAGCUAACCAGUACUAAUUGCCCGUGAGGCUUGACCAUAUAACACCCAAACA
rnacentral:rRNA from 1 species